rnacentral:rRNA from 1 species
GACGAACGCUGGCGGCGUGCUUAACACAUGCAAGUCGAACGGAAAGGCCCUGCUUUUGUGGGGUGCUCGAGUGGCGAACGGGUGAGUAACACGUGAGUAACCUGCCCUUGACUUUGGGAUAACUUCAGGAAACUGGGGCUAAUACCGGAUAGGAGCUCCUGCUGCAUGGUGGGGGUUGGAAAGUUUCGGCGGUUGGGGAUGGACUCGCGGCUUAUCAGCUUGUUGGUGGGGUAGUGGCUUACCAAGGCCUUGACGGGUAGCCGGCCUGAGAGGGUGAUCGGCCACAUUGGGACUGAGAUACGGCCCAGACUCCUACGGGAGGCAGCAGUGGGGAAUAUUGCACAAUGGGCGGAAGCCUGAUGCAGCAACGCCGCGUGCGGGAUGACGGCCUUCGGGUUGUAAACCGCUUUCGCCUGUGACGAAGCGUGAGUGACGGUAAUGGGUAAAGAAGCACCGGCUAACUACGUG